GAUGAACGCUGGCGGCGUGCCUAAUACAUGCAAGUCGAGCGAACGGACGAGAAGCUUGCUUCUCUGAUGUUAGCGGCGGACGGGUGAGUAACACGUGGAUAACCUACCUAUAAGACUGGGAUAACUUCGGGAAACCGGAGCUAAUACCGGAUAAUAUUUUGAACCGCAUGGUUCAAAAGUGAAAGACGGUCUUGCUGUCACUUAUAGAUGGAUCCGCGCUGCAUUAGCUAGUUGGUAAGGUAACGGCUUACCAAGGCAACGAUGCAUAGCCGACCUGAGAGGGUGAUCGGACACACUGGAACUGAGACACGGUCCAGACUCCUACGGGAGGCAGCAGUGGGGAAUCUUCCGCAAUGGGCGAAAGCCUGACGGAGCAACGCCGCGUGAGUGAUGAAGGUCUUCGGAUCGUAAAACUCUGUUAUUAGGGAAGAACAUAUGUGUAAGUAACUGUGCACAUCUUGACGGUACCUAAUCAGAAAGCCACGGCUAACUACGUG
rnacentral:rRNA from 1 species